rnacentral:rRNA from 1 species
CGUCUAUAUACGUAUAGCAUAUCAAUAAGCGGAGGAAAAGAAACUAACAAGGAUUCCCUUAGUAACGGCGAGUGAAGCGGGAAGAGCUCAAAUUUGAAAUCUUCAAGGUUCUACCUUGACGAAUUGUAGUUUAAAGAAGUGUUUUCUGUUAGAGUUUGAGUAGCAAAAGUUCCUUUGGAAUAGGGACAUCAUAGAGGGUGAGAAUCCCGUAUUUGAGCCAUUAUUUUCAGCUGUGUGAUACACUUUCAAAGAGUCGGAUUGUUUGGGAAUGCAGUCCAAAAUGGGUGGUAAAUUUCAUCUAAAGCUAAAUAUUGGCGAGAGACCGAUAGCGAACAAGUACCGUGAGGGAAAGAUGAAAAGAACUUUGAAAAGAGAGUUAAACAGUACGUGAAAUUGUCAAAAGGGAAGCGUUUGACACCAGUGUUGUUUUUCCGAAAAUCAAUUAAGUGCCUGGUUGAUUUUGUAGUAGUAUUGACCUUAUCAGCUUCUUCACUGCUUUUUCGCUGUCUGUGCUAAUGCACUUUUCGGUUAACAAGUCAACAUCAAUUUCUUUUGUUGUAAAAGGGUAAUUGGAAGGUGGCUUUCUUUUCGGAGAAAGUGUUUAUAGCCUUUUACCUCUACAAUCGGAGAGAUUGAGGUCUGCAGCGUAGAUCCUUCGGGGCUAGAUACACUUGUGCUAAGUUAUAGCCGGGUAUAGACAACUUGUUGACUAUGUUUAGUCAUGUAGCUUACUCGCUUGUGCUAUUUUACCUACGCUUAGGAUGUUGAGUCAUCACACAUCUCU